UUAAACAAAUAGCCUAAAUAACAACUACACAAAGUUAAAGUCAUAAUAACUUUUUAUAAAGGUAUCUUGAAUUUCAACUGGAGGUAGUUUUGAUAAAUAUUAGUAUUCUGAACAUUAAAAUAGGUAGACUUAACAUACAUUUGUUCUGAAAACAUAUUUAGAAAUUGGUUUUAAAAAAUGAGGUUAGGAUUGGGGUGAUAACUAGUUGAGGAUUAGAUAUGAUAUUCAUUGUGUUUAUCCAUGUUGUAAUUUCUCUUUUACAGGUUCAUCCAAAAAAAAGGGAAGAUCUGAUUUUUACCAGUAAUAAGACUACAGCAUACUAAAUGACACAAGAUGUUCUUUCUCUAUUACCUCUUACAUUUGACAUAAAAGUAGGAAAAGGUUUAACAGUCUAUGCCUACAACAUAGAUCUCCAGGACUAAAAGUACACAAAAUGGCAAUCAGUAUAUCACAAGUGUAAUAACACAUGCAUCUAAUCUGCUUCAGUGGCGAGAACUGGGUGAAUCCUCUCAAACAUUAAUCAGGAACUAGGCAUACCUAAUGAGCGUCAAGCUGAUACAGUAGAUGUACAGAAGAGUUUAUACACAAGGAAGUGAAAAGUGAUGUAAAAGGCAACUAAUACUUCCAUCUACCAUAGUUAAACAAGAAUCUGCAAAUGGUGAUAAUUGCAAUAAUCUUGAUAUAUUAAUGUUUGGCUUUAUAAUUAUAUGCAAUUGUUUCAUAAAUAAAUUAUUUCUCAAAAUU